CACUUCAUCAGCAAAAGAUACUGAAGAUGAUUAUGCGACUAUUUCAGAUGAAGCUUACAAUGUGGAACGUGCUUAUGGUAUUUCAUCCAAGCCAAGCACUAAUGAAGAGCAAUAUGCUGAAGCUAGUGGGCCCAGAUAUUUAGAAUUGAAACCAGCAG
rnacentral:lncRNA from 1 species